rnacentral:rRNA from 1 species
UUAAGCGACUAAGCGUACACGGUGGAUGCCCUGGCAGUCAGAGGCGAUGAAGGACGUGCUAAUCUGCGAUAAGCGUCGGUAAGGUGAUAUGAACCGUUAUAACCGGCGAUUUCCGAAUGGGGAAACCCAGUGUGUUUCGACACACUAUCAUUAACUGAAUCCAUAGGUUAAUGAGGCGAACCGGGGGAACUGAAACAUCUAAGUACCCCGAGGAAAAGAAAUCAACCGAGAUUCCCCCAGUAGCGGCGAGCGAACGGGGAGCAGCCCAGAGCCUGAAUCAGUGUGUGUGUUAGUGGAAGCGUCUGGAAAGGCGCGCGAUACAGGGUGACAGCCUCGUACACAAAAAUGCACAUGCUGUGAGCUCGAUGAGUAGGGCGGGACACGUGGUAUCCUGUCUGAAUAUGGGGGGACCAUCCUCCAAGGCUAAAUACUCCUGACUGACCGAUAGUGAACCAGUACCGUGAGGGAAAGGCGAAAAGAACCCCGGCGAGGGGAGUGAAAAAGAACCUGAAACCGUGUACGUACAAGCAGUGGGAGCACGCUUAGGCGUGUGACUGCGUACCUUUUGUAUAAUGGGUCAGCGACUUAUAUUCUGUAGCAAGGUUAACCGAAUAGGGGAGCCGAAGGGAAACCGAGUCUUAACUGGGCGUUAAGUUGCAGGGUAUAGACCCGAAACCCGGUGAUCUAGCCAUGGGCAGGUUGAAGGUUGGGUAACACUAACUGGAGGACCGAACCGACUAAUGUUGAAAAAUUAGCGGAUGACUUGUGGCUGGGGGUGAAAGGCCAAUCAAACCGGGAGAUAGCUGGUUCUCCCCGAAAGCUAUUUAGGUAGCGCCUCGUGAAUUCAUCUCCGGGGGUAGAGCACUGUUUCGGCAAGGGGGUCAUCCCGACUUACCAACCCGAUGCAAACUGCGAAUACCGGAGAAUGUUAUCACGGGAGACACACGGCGGGUGCUAACGUCCGUCGUGAAGAGGGAAACAACCCAGACCGCCAGCUAAGGUCCCAAAGUCAUGGUUAAGUGGGAAACGAUGUGGGAAGGCCCAGACAGCCAGGAUGUUGGCUUAGAAGCAGCCAUCAUUUAAAGAAAGCGUAAUAGCUCACUGGUCGAGUCGGCCUGCGCGGAAGAUGUAACGGGGCUAAACCAUGCACCGAAGCUGCGGCAGCGACGCUUAUGCGUUGUUGGGUAGGGGAGCGUUCUGUAAGCCUGCGAAGGUGUGCUGUGAGGCAUGCUGGAGGUAUCAGAAGUGCGAAUGCUGACAUAAGUAACGAUAAAGCGGGUGAAAAGCCCGCUCGCCGGAAGACCAAGGGUUCCUGUCCAACGUUAAUCGGGGCAGGGUGAGUCGACCCCUAAGGCGAGGCCGAAAGGCGUAGUCGAUGGGAAACAGGUUAAUAUUCCUGUACUUGGUGUUACUGCGAAGGGGGGACGGAGAAGGCUAUGUUGGCCGGGCGACGGUUGUCCCGGUUUAAGCGUGUAGGCUGGUUUUCCAGGCAAAUCCGGAAAAUCAAGGCUGAGGCGUGAUGACGAGGCACUACGGUGCUGAAGCAACAAAUGCCCUGCUUCCAGGAAAAGCCUCUAAGCAUCAGGUAACAUCAAAUCGUACCCCAAACCGACACAGGUGGUCAGGUAGAGAAUACCAAGGCGCUUGAGAGAACUCGGGUGAAGGAACUAGGCAAAAUGGUGCCGUAACUUCGGGAGAAGGCACGCUGAUAUGUAGGUGAAGUCCCUCGCGGAUGGAGCUGAAAUCAGUCGAAGAUACCAGCUGGCUGCAACUGUUUAUUAAAAACACAGCACUGUGCAAACACGAAAGUGGACGUAUACGGUGUGACGCCUGCCCGGUGCCGGAAGGUUAAUUGAUGGGGUUAGCGCAAGCGAAGCUCUUGAUCGAAGCCCCGGUAAACGGCGGCCGUAACUAUAACGGUCCUAAGGUAGCGAAAUUCCUUGUCGGAUAAGUUCCGACCUGCACGAAUGGCGUAAUGAUGGCCAGGCUGUCUCCACCCGAGACUCAGUGAAAUUGAACUCGCUGUGAAGAUGCAGUGUACCCGCGGCAAGACGGAAAGACCCCGUGAACCUUUACUAUAGCUUGACACUGAACAUUGAGCCUUGAUGUGUAGGAUAGGUGGGAGGCUUGGAAGUGUGGACGCCAGUCUGCAUGGAGCCGACCUUGAAAUACCACCCUUUAAUGUUUGAUGUUCUAACGUUGACCCGUAAUCCGGGUUGCGGACAGUGUCUGGUGGGUAGUUUGACUGGGGCGGUCUCCUCCUAAAGAGUAACGGAGGAGCACGAAGGUUGGCUAAUCCUGGUCGGACAUCAGGAGGUUAGUGCAAUGGCAUAAGCCAGCUUGACUGCGAGCGUGACGGCGCGAGCAGGUGCGAAAGCAGGUCAUAGUGAUCCGGUGGUUCUGAAUGGAAGGGCCAUCGCUCAACGGAUAAAAGGUACUCCGGGGAUAACAGGCUGAUACCGCCCAAGAGUUCAUAUCGACGGCGGUGUUUGGCACCUCGAUGUCGGCUCAUCACAUCCUGGGGCUGAAGUAGGUCCCAAGGGUAUGGCUGUUCGCCAUUUAAAGUGGUACGCGAGCUGGGUUUAGAACGUCGUGAGACAGUUCGGUCCCUAUCUGCCGUGGGCGCUGGAGAACUGAGGGGGGCUGCUCCUAGUACGAGAGGACCGGAGUGGACGCAUCACUGGUGUUCGGGUUGUCAUGCCAAUGGCACUGCCCGGUAGCUAAAUGCGGAAGAGAUAAGUGCUGAAAGCAUCUAAGCACGAAACUUGCCCCGAGAUGAGUUCUCCCUGACUCCUUGAGAGUCCUGAAGGAACGUUGAAGACGACGACGUUGAUAGGCCGGGUGUGUAAGCGCAGCGAUGCGUUGAGCUAACCGGUACUAAUGAACCGUGAGGCUUAACCUU